UAUGAAGAUCAUCUUUUUUUCUUCAUUUUCAUUUUAUUAUUUUGAGCGUUGCAAAUUUUAAAUCAAGGUUUCCGAAGUAUUUGUGUUUCUGUUGGGGAAGAAGACAAUGUAUUUGCUUUGACAUUUUCUUAGGUUAAACAGUGCAACAUUGUAAUAUUGAAGAGUGGGGGAGGGGCCGGUUUUUAGGGGUAUUUUUUUCGUCUGACUACUCUAUAUUUAGAAUAUUGUGUAGUGUUAUCUCCUCCGACCUGGUGGUAUCAAUAAUCAUAUUCUAA
rnacentral:lncRNA from 1 species